UACGUAGGGGGCAAGCGUUGUCCGGAAUUAUUGGGCGUAAAGAGCGUGUAGGCGGUCCGGUAAGUCAGCUGUGAAAGUCAAGGGCUCAACCCUUGAAUGCCGGUUGAUACUGUCGGGCUAGAGUCCGGAAGAGGCGAGUGGAAUUCCCAGUGUAGCGGUGAAAUGCGCAGAUAUCGGGAGGAACACCAAUGGCGAAGGCAGCUCGCUGGGACGGUACUGACGCUGAGACGCGAAAGCGUGGGGAGCAAACAGG
rnacentral:rRNA from 1 species